ACUGGGACAAGACAAGAGGAAUACACAGGUCAUAGAUCCCCUCACACAACCCUUCAACUGGGACAAGACAAGAGGAAUACACAGGUCAUAGAUCCCCUCACACAACCCUUCAACUGGGACAAGACAAGAGGAAUACACAGGUCAUAGAUCCCCUCACACAACCCUUCAACUGGGACAAGACAAGAGGAAUACACAGGUUAUAGAUCCCCUCACACAACCCUUCAACAGGGACAAGACAAGAGGAAUACACAGGUCAUAGAUCCCCUCACACAACCCUUAGACUGGGACAAGACAAGAGGAAUACACAGGUUAUAGAUCCCCUCACACAACCCUUAGACUGGGACAAGACAAGAGGAAUACACAGGUUAUAGAUCCCCUCACACAACCCUUAGACUGGGACAAGACAAGAGGAAUACACAGGUCAUAGAUCCCCUCACACAACCCUUAGACUGGGACAAGACGAGAAGUUACUCUAAAUUUGGGUAAAGUGUCACUGAGAGAAAAACUAAGGUAAUUGGGGUUUAUUUUCAAGACAACUUCCUGAGUUACAUUGAACACUCACACUGCCGUAUGUGUGCCAAGACGAGGGCUGUUAAUUGCUUUGUUUUGGUCUUGCUACACUGGUGAACUUGGCAGCUAAAGAAGGAAAACUAUGGAGUAGGCAUGCAUAUGCCAAAUGUCUUGCUUCACAGUGGAAUUUAAACAGUAAUAGUAGAGAUAUUAUUCAUAUUUUAAGGCUACAAUAUAUUUCACAUUUGAGAUAUAUAAGCAAAAUACCACCACAAACAAAUAGCUACCACUAGCUACAAUAGCUCAGUUUACUGGAUGAGCUGUGCAUGUUGGUGGUAUAAUCUCUAACCAGAUGAGGUUCUGUGUAUAGUGAGUGUAAGGUUGAUUACCAGAUGAGGUUCUAUGUAUAGUGAGUGUAGGGUUGAUUACCAGAUGAGGUUCUGUAUAUAGUGAGUGUAAGGUUGAUUACCAGAUGAGGUUCUAUGUAUAGUGAGUGUAAGGUUGAUUACCAGAUGAGGUUCUGUAUAUAGUGAGUACAAGGUUGAUUACCAGAUGAGGUUCUGUAUAUAGUGAGUGCAAGGUUGAUUACCAGAUGAGGUUCUGUAUAUAGUGAGUGUAAGGUUGAUUACCAGAUGAGGUUCUGUAUAUAGUGAGUGUAAGGUUGAUUACCAGAUGAGGUUCUAUGUAUAGUGAGUGUAAGGUUGAUUACCAGAUGAGGUUCUGUAUAUAGUGAGUGCAAGGUUGAUUACCAGAUGAGGUUCUGUAUAUAGUGAGUGUAAGGUUGAUUACCAGAUGAGGUUCUAUGUAUAGUGAGUGUAAGGUUGAUUACCAGAUGAGGUUCUAUGUAUAGUGAGUGUAAGGUUGAUUACCAGAUGAGGUUCUGUAUAUAGUGAGUGUAAGGUUGAUUACCAGAUGAGGUUCUGUAUAUAGUGAGUGUAAGGUUGAUUACCAGAUGAGGUUCUAUGUAUAGUGAGUGUAAGGUUGAUUACCAGAUGAGGUUCUGUAUAUAGUGAGUGCAAGGUUGAUUACCAGAUGAGGUUCUGUAUAUAGUGAGUGUAAGGUUGAUUACCAGAUGAGGUUCUGUAUAUAGUGAGUGUAAGGUUGAUUACCAGAUGAGGUUCUAUGUAUAGUGAGUGUAAGGUUGAUUACCAGAUGAGGUUCUGUAUAUAGUGAGUGCAAGGUUGAUUACCAGAUGAGGUUCUGUAUAUAGUGAGUGUAAGGUUGAUUACCAGAUGAGGUUCUAUGUAUAGUGAGUGUAAGGUUGAUUACCAGAUGAGGUUCUAUGUAUAGUGAGUGUAAGGUUGAUUACCAGAUGAGGUUCUGUAUAUAGUGAGUGUAAGGUUGAUUACCAGAUGAGGUUCUGUAUAUAGUGAGUGUAAGGUUGAUUACCAGAUGAGGUUCUAUGUAUAGUGAGUGUAAGGUUGAUUACCAGAUAAGGUUAUGUAUAUAGUGAGUGUAAGGUUGAUUACCAGAUGAGGUUCUGUAUAUAGUGAGUGUAAGGUUGAUUACCAGAUGAGGUUCUAUACAUAGUGAGUGUAAGGUUGAUUACCAGAUGAGGGUCUGUAUAUAGUGAGUGUAAGGUUGAUUACCAGAUGAGGGUCUGUAUAUAGUGAGUGUAAGGUUGAUUACCAGAUGAGGUUCUAUAUAUAGUGAGUGUAAGGUUGAUUACCAGAUGAAGUUCUAUAUAUAGUGAGUGUAAGGUUGAUUACCAGAUGAGGUUCUGUAUAUAGUGAGUGUAAGGUUGAUUACCAGAUGAGG